UGAGGAAUAUUGGUCAAUGGGCGCGAGCCUGAACCAGCCAAGUCGCGUGAAGGAAGAAGGUUCUAUGGAUUGUAAACUUCUUUUGUAAGGGAAUAAAAAGUGGUACGUGUACCAUAUUGUAUGUACUUUACGAAUAAGGAUCGGCUAACUCCGUGCCAGCAGCCGCGGUAAUACGGAGGAUCCGAGCGUUAUCCGGAUUUAUUGGGUUUAAAGGGUGCGUAGGCGGAUUGAUAAGUCAGCGGUGAAAGUUUGCAGCUCAACUGUAAAAUGGCCAUUGAAACUGUCGAUCUUGAGUGCAAAUGAGGUAGGCGGAAUGUGUUGUGUAGCGGUGAAAUGCUUAGAUAUGACACAGAACCCCGAUUGCGAAGGCAGCUUACUGGGAUGCAACUGACGCUGAGGCACGAAAGCGUGGGGAUCAAACA
rnacentral:rRNA from 1 species